GAAUUUCGGUUUCAGUGAAA
rnacentral:misc_RNA from 1 species